rnacentral:rRNA from 1 species
UACGGGGGGGGCAAGCGUUGUUCGGAAUUACUGGGCGUAAAGGGCGCGUAGGCGGCCUUCUAAGUCGGACGUGAAAUCCCUCGGCUUAACCGAGGAACUGCGUCCGAUACUGAAAGGCUUGAAUCCGGGAGAGGGAUGUGGAAUUCCAGGUGUAGCGGUGAAAUGCGUAGAUAUCUGGAGGAACACCGGUGGCGAAGGCGGCAUCCUGGACCGGCAUUGACGCUGAGGCGGCGAAAAGCUAGGGGAGCAAACGGGG